ACCGCAGCCGCGGUUCCCGCCCGCGCCUCUCCCUCCACACCUCCCCGCAAGCAGAGGGAGCCGGCUCCGGCCUUGGCCAGCCCAGAGACAGGCUCCCACAGUGCAGCGGCGGGCUGAAGGGCUCCUCAAGCACUGCCAGAGUGGACACCGAGGCCGAGGAGACGCCAAGAGCGAAAAUUUUUGUUUUCCAUGACUGCAAGAAAUACUGCUGAACAAGACAUUUCUUCAUCAUCCUUGAUGAAAGAUGAACAUUAAUAAUGCAGAUAGAAAUCAGGCCAAGUAAUGUUGAAGAGAAAACAAGGUCCAGUAGCACUACUUCCUUUUAGAAGAUAAGAAUAAACAGAUUUAAAAUGGCAAGCUCAAUAAUUUUACCCUAACAAAAAAUGAGUGAAACAAGCUUCUGGUUCAAGAGUUUCUUCAGGUUCCACUACGGGCUGUUCUUCUACAGGUGCGCCGAUGUCCACAGUGCUACCUUCUGAUGAGCUACUGCUUUCAUUCAGUUUCUGCUGACUUAAUAUGUGAGCUGACAGAAUGCAGAGACCACGUUGUAUAUGAAGCAUCCACUUUGCCUUGUACACCAGGGCAUUCAAUAACCACUUAAUAACUACAACCCUGAUGAUCCGAUUCACUACUAAAGUCUUCCGUGUUUAAAUUUUCAAAGUCAGAUUCUCCUACAGCAAUUGGUACAGUCACAGUAAGACUGGGGUUGUUUAUGAAUGACAUGUAAUCACUUUCAUCAAUAAUGUAUUUUUCAACACUGCUGCCAGUUCCUAUACCACUUGUAGUUCCAUUUACAUCUUUAAGAUAGUCAAGAUCUUUCCCAAUUUCUGCUGUAUGAUUGGACAUACAACUGUCUUUCUUGUUGUUUAGAUCAUCAAGUGGUUUAAUUUCAUCUAAAAUCUUUUGUUUCCUAAUGAAGGACUGUUGAAUAAAUUCAUAUAUUUUU
rnacentral:lncRNA from 1 species